AUCGCGUCAUUCAGCUGACGAGUCCCAAAUAGGACGAAACGCGCG
rnacentral:hammerhead_ribozyme from 13 species